rnacentral:rRNA from 1 species
AGAGUUUGAUCCUGGCUCAGGAUGAACGCUAGCUACAGGCUUAACACAUGCAAGUCGAGGGGCAGCAUUAACGAAAGCUUGCUUUUGUUAGAUGGCGACCGGCGCACGGGUGAGUAACGCGUAUCCAACCUGCCAUAUACAGAGGGAUAGCCUUGCGAAAGUAAGAUUAAUACCUCAUGGUUUAUAUUUGCCGCAUGGCGGAUAUAAUAAAGAUUUAUCGGUAUAUGAUGGGGAUGCGUCCCAUUAGAUAGUCGGCGGGGUAACGGCCCACCGAGUCGACGAUGGGUAGGGGUUCUGAGAGGAAGGUCCCCCACAUUGGAACUGAGACACGGUCCAAACUCCUACGGGAGGCAGCAGUGAGGAAUAUUGGUCAAUGGACGAGAGUCUGAACCAGCCAAGUAGCGUGCAGGAGGACGGCCCUAUGGGUUGUAAACUGCUUUAGUAUGGGAAUAAAGUCAUCCACGCGUGGAUGUUUGCAUGUACCAUAAGAAUAAGGACCGGCUAAUUCCGUGCCAGCAGCCGCGGUAAUACGGAAGGUCCGGGCGUUAUCCGGAUUUAUUGGGUUUAAAGGGAGCGUAGGCGGAUUUUUAAGUCAGUUGUGAAAGUUCACGGCCCAACCGUGAAAUUGCAGUUGAAACUGAAAGUCUUGAGUGCACGCAGGGAUGCUGGAAUUCGUGGUGUAGCGGUGAAAUGCUUAGAUAUCACGAAGAACUCCGAUCGCGAAGGCAUGUGUCCGGAGUGCAACUGACGCUGAGGCUCGAAAGUGUGGGUAUCAAACAGGAUUAGAUACCCUGGUAGUCCACACAGUAAACGAUGAAUACUCGCAGUUGGCGAUAUACGGUCAGCUGCCAAGUGAAAACAAUAAGUAUUCCACCUGGGGAGUACGCCGGCAACGGUGAAACUCAAAGGAAU